UAGCCGAUAAGUAGGUUAAAUGAAUCCGACAACAUCCGGUAUAUUUUUCGACCUACUUCACGAGCAUAAUUAUCAGCCUGUUAAGCUCAUAAGGGAAAUAAAGAUUAUUUACUUUAAUAUUCACUUGGAAAGGCUGGUACAUGUAGCUAGAAAAAAGUACAGUAUAAGAUUAAAGAAAGACUAGAAGAUUAUUACAAACAACAGGUGGACAUGUGUCACUGUCAAGCGAAUGAAGAUAAGCAUCACACUUGGUGGGAAUCUCCAGUUUCCAGAUGUAGUGAUCAUAACUGUAUAGGCACCAUUAACACUUUGGACUAGUUGGAGUAUUUUAGAGGGCUAGUCUGAAUUGAAUCCCCUGUCAAUAGUAAAGGCCAGUCAUGAACAUUGUGUUGAAGGAAAAUGUUAAAACUCGGAUUUUCCUCUUAACCAAUCAUUACUUUACCUUAUAUUCAGUGCGGUAAUGUAGGAAAUGGUUACUUUCUGGAACGAAGCUGUCAAUUAUUUU